GAAGGAAUCAGGGAGCAGCAUACUGACCACUGAGGAGGUGGAAGGAAUCAGGGAGCAGCAUACUGACCACUGAGGAGGUGGAAGGAAUCAGGGAGCAGCAUACUGACCACUGAGGAGGUGGAAGGAAUCAGGGAGCAGCAUACUGACCACUGAGGAGGUGGAAGGAAUCAGGGAGCAGCAUACUGACCACUGAGGAGGUGGAAGGAAUCAGGGAGCAGCAUACUGACCACUGAGGAGGUGGAAGGAAUCAGGGAGCAGCAUACUGACCACUGAGGAGGUGGAAGGAAUCAGGGAGCAGCAUACUGACCACUGAGGAGGUGGAAGGAAUCAGGGAGCAGCAUACUGACCACUGAGGAGGUGGAAGGAAUCAGGGAGCAGCAUACUGACCACUGAGGAGGUGGAAGGAAUCAGGGAGCAGCAUACUGACCACUGAGGAGGUGGAAGGAAUCAGGGAGCAGCAUACUGACCACUGAGGAGGUGGAAGGAAUCAGGGAGCAGCAUACUGACCACUGAGGAGGUGGAAGGAAUCAGGGAGCAGCAUACUGACCACUGAGGAGGUGGAAGGAAUCAGGGAGCAGCAUACUGACCACUGAGGAGGUGGAAGGAAUCAGGGAGCAGCAUACUGACCACUGAGGAGGUGGAAGGAAUCAGGGAGCAGC